GGAGCAUGUGGUUAAUUCGAAGCAACGCGAAGAACCUUACCAGGCCUUGACAUGCAGAGAACUUUCCAGAGAUGGAUUGGUGCCUUCGGGAACUCUGACACAGGUGCUGCAUGGCUGUCGUCAGCUCGUGUCGUGAGAUGUUGGGUUAAGUCCCGUACGAGCGCAACCCUUGUCCUUAGUUACCAGCACGUUAUGGUGGGCACUCUAAGGAGACUGCCGGUGACAAACCGGAGGAAGGUGGGGAUGACGCCAAGUCAUCAUGGCCCUUACGGCCUGGGCUACACACGUGCUACAAUGGUCGGUACAAAGGGUUGCCAAGCCGCGAGGUGGAGCUAAUCCCAUAAAACCGAUCGUAGUCCGGAUCGCAGUCUGCAACUCGACUGCGUGAAGUCGGAAUCGCUAGUAAUCGUGAAUCAGAAUGUCACGGUGAAUACGUUCCCGGGCCUU
rnacentral:rRNA from 1 species